rnacentral:rRNA from 1 species
CUACUGGGGUAUCUAAUCCUGUUUGCUCCCCACACUUUCGUACCUCAGCGUCAAUACCUGUCCAGUGAGCCGCCUUCGCCACUGGUGUUCUUCCGAAUAUCUACGAAUUUCACCUCUACACUCGGAAUUCCACUCACCUCUCCAGGAUUCUAGCGAUGCAGUUUUAAAGGCUAUUCCGGGGUUGAGCCCCGGGCUUUCACCUCUAACUUACAAAGCCGCCUACGCACGCUUUACGCCCAGUAAUUCCGAACAACGCUAGCUCCCUCCGUAUUACCGCGGCUGCUGGCAC